UACGUAGGCGGGAAAUUAAGUCAGUAGUGAAAUCCCACAGCUUAACUGUGGAACUGUUAUUGAUACUGGUUUCCUUGAAUUUAGUUGAGGUAGGCGGAAUGUGUAAUGUAGCGGUGAAAUGCUUAGAUAUUACACAGAACACCGAUUGCGAAGGCAGCUUACUAAGCUAUGAUUGACGCUGAGGUACGAAAGCGUGGGGAGCGAACAGGAUUAGAUACCCUGGUAGUCC
rnacentral:rRNA from 1 species